rnacentral:lncRNA from 1 species
GGAUUUUUUAUAUAUCGUAAAGUAUAUGUAACAGGUUUUUACACAGGCAUGUGGUUUGGUCCACUGUUUAUUGAGUUCUGUUUUGUUUUAAGCAUGGGAGUCAGAUGCUUUAUUAAAAUGAAUCCAAAAAGGGAUCCUUGUAUAGUAUUUGCUGACUAUUCUCAAAAAAAUUCCCAUAUCAACAUAAAAAGAUGGAAAGCAAAUGAGAAGAACCAAAAGAAAUGGGUAAGAGUGUUACUUCUCUUGAAAAUUAAAGAGGAAAAGUUACUCAUGCUCAUUUGGUGAUUGAAAAUACACACUUGAAACAAAUACAUCUAGAUCUGCUCAUGUUGAGUUUAAACAAUUAUACCUAUGGGAAUCUGAAUUAAACUCAGAUUGUGCUUCACAAAGGCUCAGUAACGCUAAAAAUGUGUGGCAAUGAAUUGACUUCAGCCUAUAUCUCAUUGCCUUUAAGGAAUGGUCCCCUAGAGUUAGGUUCAUAUCUUGAUAUGAAUUAUACUUCCUGUGUAUAGGUGGAAACAUUCAGUAAUUUCCCCACAGCUUUCCAAAAAUUUUGACAGUCAUCAUGAUUGUCUAGGCUGAUACAGAAGUUUGUAUCCAUCCUCUAACAAGGUGAUAUCUGGGACCUACUGAAGAUUGGGAGGGCAGUGUCAUAAACCAUAUCUUUAUGCACAGGGAAGAGCUAUAGAAACCACCCCAGCUUGUAAUACAAAACAAACAACCUUAAAAGUAAAGCAGUCCUCCUAGCAGUGCUUCUGUUUAACAUACCAUGUACAUAUCUUAGAGCAAAAUGUAUGUGUGAGGAAGGCAUAGAAACCAAGUACUUACUAUGUCCUGGGGACUACAUAUUUCUUUGUUCUUAGUUUUAUUAUUUAUUGGGGCACUAUAAUCAAUUAGUCAGUGCUAAUGAUACCUUUGGGUUAAAAUAUCUGAUUUACCCAUCUUUGCUACCCAUUUCAGUAUUCAUCCUGUGAUCUGACUGUUAAAGCUGCACAUGGCCUUUGCCACACCAGGAUUCCCUCAGUGCACUGAAAUGAGAUAGGUGACUUCAAUGGCAGUGUCUUUGGACAUCAUCCCCUGAGAGAGGGUUUUCUUAGGUGGGCUUGCUGCAGGUUACUUCCUCCAGCCUGAUGGUCAGUUGAGAGAGGAUUCAUGACACACUGUUGUGUGUGUGCUGAUUGUAUGUCUGCAAAACAAAUGCGUUUGAGAUUUUUACAUCCCAAAACGUAGGCCAGAAUGUGCUCCCCACUUUAAACUUUGACCUUAUAGCUGAGGAACUAUAGAGUAGCCAUGUGAUUUGCUUCUUAUUUAAUGCCCAAUAAUCAAAUGUUUCUUUCCUCAGUGAUUGGAAAGUUGCAGUGAAGGCUGGCCCCUUCCUAAAUCUGGCUUCUUCUUAUACCAAGUUUGCCAAAAGUGUCUGAAGUAUUAGACUAUGAAUAAUAAUGAUGAUGAUAAAAUCAAAAUAAUACAGCAGUGAAUCAUUACUAUGUUUGAGACUUUGUGCUUAACAUGCAUUACCUGUUAAUUAUUAUAACAACAGUUUGGUGUAAUAUGAUGAUCCCUGUUUUACAAAUGAGAAUUCAGAGGCUUAGAGAAACUAAGUGUGUUUCUAGGUUUCACAUCUGAUAAGUUAUGUUACUUCACAUAAUGGCAUCUACUUUUUCCCAGCCUGAAUGCACACACAAAUAUAUAACCUAUGUCAGUUGGGACUGGCAAAAAGAUAAUAAUAUGCAAGGCUUUGAUGAAUAUAUUAAAUUGGAAGUCUACAGACUCACCAACAAAAAAAAAAUAUUAAGUAAAUAUAAUAUGUGUAAAUAUAAUAGGUGUAUAUUUUCAGGAGGCAAGAUAUGAGAAUUUUCUGAAUAAUAUGCACAUUAAUUAUUCUAAAGAGUAACUUAAAUGCACAUAUGCUUAUUAAUUCUGCUUAUUAAAAGUACUCUUAGCUAAUACCAAUUAGAGCUAAUCCUAAUUAAAGGAAUCCAGGUUUACAUAAACUUUGUCUCUAUUGACAGUACAAUAGUUACUUGGAAUUGAUAGAUAAUAUUUCAGAUAUAUCCCUCAUUCACUCAAUUGUUGCAUAUGUUUAUUUGGAUGACUUUUCACAUUUAUAGUGCUAUAUAUGUAUGUUGAUAAUAGUAACUUCCUGUUAUAUAUAUAUCAAUUAUUGCCACAAUCAUUUGCUAUCUUGGAUAUUUAUGAUUAUACAUAACAGUUUUCUCACUGUGAAUGUGAGAUAACUAUCCUGCAUUAUAAAUUAAAACAUCCUAAAUUUUGUUUUUCUUCUUGGAGAAAACUAGUAUAUAUCAUAUAUCUUCUGGGAGAAAAUUUUCAUUUCUAGAUGACUCAAUAACCUUUACUAUUUUGGCAUUUCCAUCUAGCUAGUUAUUAUACCUUAUGAUCUAAUUAGCAUUUGGUAUUUGAUAUCUCCAGUGACUAACAAGGCCAUCUAAAUUAAAGCAUUUCAAAUUCUAAUUCUUGUUAGAGAAUUCUAUUUAAAUGGAAGAGAAAUGGUGGCUUCCUCCAUUUCUCACAGUUUACCUUCAGCUUUAUUGCUUAAUGUUUAAUUCUCCAAUGAAAACUUAGUGAUCCUGGAAUUUCACAUAUUACAAAGUUCCAGGUUGCUCCUUGCUGUGUCUCAUCUCUGAACUGAAUUCUCUAAGAACUUUAAGAAUCUGAAAAAUUUAGCUUUCAUUGUUAGGAAAAAGUUUUAAAACUUCAAGACAAUAUCCAACAACUGAUCUUUUUUAAAAAAAAUAUAUUUUAAAACUACCAUUAUAUGGAAAGUAGUAUGAAAUUCCUUAAUUAUUAUAGUCUUUUAUUUUUUAUUUUUUUUUACUAUACCCAUGGCAUAUGGAAGUUCCUGAGCCAAGGAUAGAAUCUGAUCUGCAGCUGCAACCUACACCAGCUGUGGCAAUACUGUAUUCAUAACCCAUUGUGCCACAGAAGGAGCUCCUAUUAUGGAUUUUUAAAACCGUAAUUCUUUUUUUUUUUUUUUGCUUUUUAGUGCUGUGCCUGUGACAUAUGGAGGUUCCCAGGCUAAGAGUAUAAUCUGAGCUGCAGCUGCUGGCCUAUGCCACAGCCACAGCAAUGUGAGAUUGUGAAAUAUUGAAUAAAUUUUAAUGCGUUACAUGUUACUCCUCUGUUUAAAAACUAUAGGCUUUUAAAGAAUUGGUACAAAAUCCUGUUGUAAUAGUGCAUACCCAAGAAGAAAAAGCAAAGAACUUUAAAUAUUGUACUGGGUAUCUACAUAUUUAGUUACACUAUAUGAUAUAAUGCACAUGUGUGUACAUUACACACAGACACACAUACACAAACACACACAUGGAUAGCUCCAAAAGAGAAUAAGCAGUUAUUGGAAGCAGAUUUUUAAAACUAUUAGGUCUUUUAAAAUUCAAUUUACAUCAUAAACUCAACCAAAAAUCAUCUAGUUAGAUCUUGCCACAAUUUGUCCUUUUGAAAUAACCCCAGCUUUCUUGAAUCCAUACUCAUAAAAUCCAUAAUAUUAAGUACAUAUGGUAAAUAGAACAAUAGGUGUUAGUGGUGAAAAAGAAAGGGAAACUAAAAGUAAACAAAUCUGGAAAAAGUCCCUGGCCUUAGGAGUUAGUUUAUUGGGAAAGGAUGUAGAGGUAAAUGGUUUCCCACAUAACAUGGGCAUUAAAGAUAUCAGUGGGGAAACUUUCCCUCCAAAUUAAUAGUCUAGCUCCAGCUACUUCAGCUAUGGGAGAAUUGCCAUUGUAGCAUGGAAGGUAUGCAGUAGAAAGUUCUCCACUAAAGGAACAUAGGGUUUGACGGUUAUUUUUUUUUUUUAAGGCAUGAUAUUAUUUACUUCCCUUCAAAAGCAUGUCCAUUCCCCAAAGUCAAGCAUGGUAUGCUUUGAGAACUCACAAGGGACCAGAUCAGGAUGUUUCCAUAUUAGGAAAAUAUAACUGUCGUCUUUUGCAGGAAUAUGUGUUGUGAUAAAGGUGAUCAGAAAUAUUACAUGUCAUUAAAAUUAUUUGUGAAUAUUCUCAUCUUUGAGUAAUUCUACCCUAAGUUUUUUUUUUUUUUCUGAAGCAAGCAUAAAAGCUAUGACUGAAGGAAAUUUUAAAAUUUGUUUUUAAUCAGCUUUGGUCAACAUGAAAGAAGGACCAGCAGUACACAUAGAGGCAUCAGAGAAUGUUACUGAAUCAUGGCAUAAGAAUAAACUGAAACUCAUCCCUUAGGUAUCACAAUAUCACAGGACAGAGGGAUUAACAAUUAAUUCUGGACCACUAUCUAGCUAUAUCUCUUAUUUAUAAUUCUAUAUUUGCUUAUGUUUAAAUUAACAGUGAAGUUAUAAAUAUAUAAUUAUUGAAUGGGUGAUGUUUACUUAGUCAUUUCCUAGUUUUAUUCAGUUCUCAAGUAAUCUUUGUGUUAGUAAAAUAAGCAGGUUAAAUCACACCCCAAAACAUGGGCUCUGGAGUAUAAAAUUCCUGGAUUCCAGCUGUGCCUCCACCACUUACCAACUGCGUGAUUUAGGUUAAGUCUCUUUGCCUCUUUUUAAGUUUCCUCAAUAGUAAAGUAGAGGCAAUGAUACUGUCACUAGUAUACCUUUUUUCAGUGAGUAAAUGUGAUAAUCCAUGUGUUAUACUUGCCAAAAGCCUAGUAUGACUAAGCACUUACUAAAUGUCAGCUAUUAUGAUUACCAACAUGAUUUGUAUUAUUUCCAAAUUUAAUACCAAUUGGAAAGGCAUGCAAGGCAUAUGAUCCUAUUAACAUUAUCAGACAAGAGAACCAACUUCCUCAGUGUGAAAGAAGCAGGUAACUUUCCUUCCAGGAUUCUGCCUGAUUUCCUCUACCAUCUGUCCAAAAUUCAUAAAAACAAUAAAAAUAUUCCCCAAAAUACAUAUACUAGGACUAAAUGAAAAAAGCAAAUAAAAUGUUGGAAUCCGGGGAAAUUAAAAAAUGAAUAAGGUGUUGGUUAAAAAAAAAGGAAGACUGUAUUGAAGACAUAGCAUUUGAAUAAGGUUUUUAAUAAGUAAACUUUAGAUUCAAAGUAAUAAAAAAGACCAACCAGAAAAGAAUCAACAAAGGUCUCCCAAUUGGAAAAUGUCAAAGAUGCAUCCUUCUUUGGGUCUUUCAAUUUUCCUAGAGUGAGGAAAGGAAACUUGAAGAACAUGUUCUUGGGAUGACAGGACUGGAAUCCUUCAUGGGCAACCUUGAACAUAGGUAUAUGGUUCAAUUCUAUUCAACCACAUCUAUUCACCUUUUAUUUACCUUUCACACGGAAUUGACUAGUGAAAGACUGUAUUUUCUCACUUCCCUUGGAGUUAGUAGUGGCCAUGAAUUAUGUUCCAGCCAACAUACUUACUGGAAUUUGAUGUAAUAUGAAUAACUUCUUUUUUGUACCUAUCAAAGAAAAAAAUGUAACCGUUCCCUUUUCUUUUCUACUGCUGGCCUGAAUGCAGCCACUGUUAUGUGGGAACUGUAAAACAGAGGCAAUAUAUUUGAGAAAGUAGAACAAUUUGGGGUUCCUAAAGAUUAAAGUGUCACUAUUCUAGCCCUGGAUGACCACUUUGAAUUUUCACAUAUUAGAGAAAUAAACUUCUAUCUUUGUUAAACUAUUAUUUUUAUUUUGUAAUUCUCUAUUACAACAGGGGAAAAAAAAAACCUUCAUUUUGAUGAAUUCAUUUUGCAUUAGGGAAUUUUAAAGAAGUGAUGAUCUUCAUAAUAGUUUAACCAAAUAGUAUGUGACAAAUUUUAACAGUAUUUCAAAUGUAGAUAGCAUUCAAAUUUUCAAAUAAUGUGUGAGUUCCCCUCGUGGCUCAGCGGAAACUAAUCCGACUAGGAACCAUGAGGUUGUGGGUUCAAUUCCUGGCCUCGCUCAGUAGGUUAAGGAUCCAGCGUUGCCGUGAGUUGUGGUGUAGGUCGCAGACAUGGCUCAGAUCCUGUGUUGCUGUGGCUGGCAGCUACGUCUCUGAUUAGACCCCUAGCCUGGGAACCUCCAUAUGC